rnacentral:rRNA from 1 species
GACGAACGCUGGCGGCGUGCUUAACACAUGCAAGUCGAACGGAAAGGCCCUGCUUUUGUGGGGUGCUCGAGUGGCGAACGGGUGAGUAACACGUGAGUAACCUGCCCUUGACUUUGGGAUAACUUCAGGAAACUGGGGCUAAUACCGGAUAGGAGCUCCUGCUGCAUGGUGGGGGUUGGAAAGUUUCGGCGGUUGGGGAUGGACUCGCGGCUUAUCAGCUUGUUGGUGGGGUAGUGGCUUACCAAGGCUUUGACGGGUAGCCGGCCUGAGAGGGUGACCGGCCACAUUGGGACUGAGAUACGGCCCAGACUCCUACGGGAGGCAGCAGUGGGGAAUAUUGCACAAUGGGCGGAAGCCUGAUGCAGCAACGCCGCGUGCGGGAUGACGGCCUUCGGGUUGUAAACCGCUUUCGCCUGUGACGAAGCGUGAGUGACGGUAAUGGGUAAAGAAGCACCGGCUAACUACGUGCCAGCAGCCGCGGUGAUACGUAGGGUGCGAGCGUUGUCCGGAUUUAUUGGGCGUAAAGGGUUCGUAGGUGGUUGAUCGCGUCGGAAGUGUAAUCUUGGGGCUUAACCCUGAGCGUGCUUUCGAUACGGGUUGACUUGAGGAAGGUAGGGGAGAAUGGAAUUCCUGGUGGAGCGGUGGAAUGCGCAGAUAUCAGGAGGAACACCAGUGGCGAAGGCGGUUCUCUGGGCCUUUCCUGACGCUGAGGAGCGAAAGCGUGGGGAGCGAACAGGCUUAGAUACCCUGGUAGUCCACGCUGUAAACGGUGGGUACUAGGUGUGGGGUCCAUUCCACGGGUUCCGUGCCGUAGCUAACGCUUUAAGUACCCCGCCUGGGGAGUACGGCCGCAAGGCUAAAACUCAACGGAAUUGACGGGGCCCCGCACAAGCGGCGGAGCAUGCGGAUUAAUUCGAUGCAACGCGUAGAACCUUACCUGGGUUUGACAUGGAUCGGGAGCGCUCAGAGAUGGGUGUGCCUCUUUUGGGGUCGGUUCACAGGUGGUGCAUGGCUGUCGUCAGCUCGUGUCGUGAGAUGUUGGGUUAAGUCCCGCAACGAGCGCAACCCUUGUUCACUGUUGCCAGCACGUUAUGGUGGGGACUCAGUGGAGACCGCCGGGGUCAACUCGGAGGAAGGUGGGGAUGACGUCAAGUCAUCAUGCCCCUUAUGUCCAGGGCUUCACGCAUGCUACAAUGGCUGGUACAGAGAGUGGCGAGCCUGUGAGGGUGAGCGAAUCUCGGAAAGCCGGUCUCAGUUCGGAUUGGGGUCUGCAACUCGACCUCAUGAAGUCGGAGUCGCUAGUAAUCGCAGAUCAGCAACGCUGCGGUGAAUACGUUCCCGGGACU